rnacentral:lncRNA from 1 species
UGGGUGUUGCUUAGGUUAAUUGUGAUUAAAAAUAAAUGGAAAUUACAUAUUAAUAGCGGCAACGUUGCUUAAUUAAGGGAAGAAAGCGACGACGCUUAUGGGACACGCGUCCACCUUUCACGGUUUCUCUCUCUCUCUUCUCUCUUUCUGUCUCGGCUUGAAAAAAAAAAUCAGAGAGUUGCGAUUGAUCUCUCCGGCUUCGUUCUUCACCUCUCUUCGCGAUGAAUUAGUCGGCGACGUGUAUCGACUCUGCGCCUUCCUUUCGCCUCUCCGCCUCCGCCUCCUUUUCGCCUUUCCGCUUCUCCGCCUCUCUUGCGCCUCUCCUCUCCAUCUGUCUUUCACGAGAUAACGUCGACGAUGAAGCACUGGGCGUCUCUCUCGGUUGAUCUUCUCGACGGACCUCGCUCGAUGCGUCUCUCCUCAAAUCGAAAGGUAAACAUCACGGACCUCUCUCGGUGUAGUUCAAUCAUGUAUGCUUUUGAUUUUGAUUAUUCUUGUUCUGUAGCUAAAACUCAUUUCUGAGUUAAUGUCUAAUUAGUAUAAGUAAGUGUUCUGUUUUACUUGCUGUCUUUGUUGGAGUUAAUGUGUUUCUUAAUUUUCAUGUAGUUAAUGUACUUGUCUCAGCUUGUUCUAUGAUUGUGGAAGGCUCUGCUUCACGUGGAAUUUUUUAUACAUGUAUGAUAAUGUUUUCUAUGAUUGUGCAGGCGGAGCUUCACGUGAAGUUAACAGAGACGAGGAGUGGUUGUCUUCUAUCACGGCAGGGUCAGUAGUCAGGAGGAGUAGUCAUGUUGUUGUCUUCAGUUUUAACUUUUUUUAAAAUCCCUAAUAUAAGCAACUUGCAAUGGAGGAGGAAAAUUAUCAAGUUGCUUAGUUAAGUUGCUUACUAAAAAAAAUUCUUAAAAACCAAUAUUAUAUAAUUAAGCAACCCAUAAUCAAUUGUUGGGAUAAUGGUGCUCU